GGGCCUUAGCUCAGUGCUAGAGCACAUUGUGCUUUGCAUGCAGAAGGGUCCAGGUUCAAUCCCUGGCAUCUCCA